GAAGACAGCGAGCGAGCGCGAGAGAGAGCGAAGGCAGCUGCUAGUAAGAGAGCGGAGCGAGCGCUGCUCAGGCUCUCUCUGUCCGCGCCCUCUCGCUCUCGCUCAGGCAUCAGGCAGCGGCAGGAGCGCGUGUAGCAGGCAGCGCCUCCAUCCCUCUCUCUGCCUCCCUCCCUUCACUUGGACAGCGGUGCUGACUCUGCCCGAGAGUCUCGGCUGCUUCCAGCCAGGAGGCUCGCACUUACCUCCCUCCUCCCUUUCUCCCUCCUUCCCUGCUGAGCCCAAUUGCUCCUUCUCCAGCUCCUCCUCCUCUUCCACCUCCCCUUCUGGAGAGGACUACCAUCCUCAGCUGGGAGAGUGCAGGUACUUUGCUUUCACCGAAUAUCUCGCAGGACCCAAGCAAGCUUUUUUACCGGGUUUUUUGUUACUGUUGUUUUGGGGGGCAUUUUUGUUUUUUUGUUUUCUCUCGUUAAAAAAAGAAAAAGAAGAAGAAAUUACUUUAGAAACAAAGCAAGCAAACCAAGCCCCCACCACCACCAAGCCCAGACCCCCCGCCCAGGGGCUGAAGUGCAUGUGCUUUCUUCUCUUGCAGUUCCUCCGGGGCCUGUGUGGAAUAAAACAUAAUUUUUUUAUUUGACUGUUAGGAGAGGGAAGAGAAGACACCUCAGGGUUUCCAAAGAGGUCCGAGCUGGCUACCUUAGAAUAUAAAUUUGCCUUUGAGGACUUCAUCAUCCCAUGUAUGUUGGAGAUGGAACAGAGGACAAUGUUAAGUACAGAAAGACAAGCUGCCUAGGGAAAACUAACUGUGGAGAGUGAAACUUAAAUUAUCCAGGGAAAUCUUGAGGAGUCUGAUACUUCUAAUCCUCCAGUCAUUGAUUGCCUAAGUUUACAGUUGUGAAGUGGUGGAAAUAAAAGUCAACCACUUCCUGGCCCUUGAUAUUCUAGUUAAGAGUAUCUGACUGACAGCAUGUUGGCACCAGCAGAGUGAGAACCCAUCAGCCUCAGCUCCAGGUCUCUGUCCUGAGAUGACAACAGGAUGUGCCUUGGCGACAGGUCUCAGGGUGGAGAACUUUUCAUUGAAUUUCAUCCCUGUGAGCUCAUGGUAAGAUAGUUUUAUUUUUAAUGUGGAAGAUUAAUCUUUUUACUUGCUUCAACAAUGAUAUUAGAGAAUUUCUAUAUGUCUAAUGCUCCAUAUAUAUAGUUGUAGGAUCUCUCUUAUUAGCUUUUUAUAAAAAUAAAAACUGGAUUUAGUAGUAAGUUUCAUUGCUAUAAUUCCAUAAUAUUUCACAAUUUCACAAAAAAAAAUGUGAUAUUUCCAUCAAAAAUCUUUAUGAUGUGUUCAGGAUAGAUUAUGAUAACUGAAAUAUUUAAUAUAACAUUCACUGUGUGGUGCAUGUGUAUUUAAAGUCAUGGUUCUGGGAAGUGAAAAUUGAUGUUCCUGAGAAAAGUCCUUUGGACAGGAAUGACAAUCUUAUACAUUAAGUUCUUCACAAUUAGGACUAUUUGAUGUCAAUGAAUAGAGGCAAUGAGUUAUUGAAAGUAAAACUUAUUUUCUUACCUGUCAAAGUUUAUCAAAACUGUGUUCUACAACAAAAGCUUGAUGUUAAGAGUUUUAGAAACUGAAAAAGAAAAUAGGCAACAAUUGAAAUAGGUUAAUAUAUAUAUAUAUGUAUAUAUAUAAUAUUACUAAUUUCUGGUCAAUUUUUCUUCCAAUAAUUAAAAAAAGCUUCUUUUACUUCUAAUAUAGAUUCACAGCUAGUAUUUUAUUGCUAUGGAAUAUAUCAGAUAUAUUAAUCUUAUGGUUAAUAUGUUAAAUUUAAGGAAGAUAUCACCAAAAUAUUUCAAUAUUUUUGUAUGUUUUUAUAAAAGUGGGGUUUUAUGAUAGGUGUCAUGAUUAUGAAUCUAUAUGAAUGAGAGAAAAUCUAGAUGGUAGAAAUAAUACUUCAUUUUGGUAUAUGAUCACCUCCAUUAUUUUGGAAACCUCUAAAUUUGAGAUUAAAGAUAUUUUGAAGUUUAUCCUACAUAAUGUGGAUAUUGAAUCUACUGGACAUAUUAAACAGCAAUCCUUAUACACUUCAAAUUGUAUGGGUGUUUCAUAAACUUUUGGGAGAUUCUUAAUACAAGUUCAUUCAAUAAUAGUACAAAGACAGACAAAUAUAGUUAAGAAUAUAACUCGGAAAUAUCAUGUUUGUGUUGUGAAGGAAAGAAUCUCAGACCUACACUUAUGGAAGAAUAAUUUAUAACUUACGUUAUAAAGUCUUAUAUAAAUUUAGUUAUGAGAGACAUUCCCCUGGAAAACCAUUUUAAGAUAAGAAAGAGAGAAAGAGAGAGAUUGAGAACCUGGCAUGCAAUAAAACGUUAUGCUAGCAAGAAAAAUAAAUUAAGUUCAAAAAAGUUCUUCACAUGGGGCAGUCAUAUUGUUUCACUGAAUCAUAUAAGUUCUAGAACUCAGCAAAGAUGUAGAAUAAGAAUAUUGAAGUCAAAGACAAAACAUCUAUUGUUGCUUAUACUCAUAGUAUGCCAGUUUUCAUAGAUCUUCCAAAUAUGAUAUGUGAAGGUUAGGGGCAAUAGAAGUUUAGUUUAGAAGUUCCUGACUUCUUGAAUAUUGAGGCAAUGACAGUUUAAUUAAUAUGGCCUUUUCUAUUGUCACAUAAUUUCUCAAAGGAACUGAUAUUCCUAGAUAUCAGUUAAAAACCAUGGGAUAAAGAGAAACUCAUACCUAAGAAAAUUUAUAUUUAUUCAGCACUUGAAAUGUACAAAGUUCUGGGUCCUGGGACAGAUGCAAAGGUAAAUGAAAUGUGAUACUUAUGCUUCCAAAUUCAAACCCUGAAUGAUGUCAUAGGCUAAAGGAGCUAGAGGAAAUUCCUUCAAACCAACAAAGUUUGAAAAGGCUGAAAGAGACAGAACUUUCUAAAGGCUUACAACCCAUGAUCUUUAAGAUAUGAAUUUUUAAAAAAAUGCCACAUUAGGGUAUAUACCCAAAAUUACUGGGGAAAAGAUUCUUAGGGUGGUCUCAGAGAGAGAGGGGGCUUUUCUUAUUUAAGGCAGUAGGGAUAAGGAUUAUUGUGGCCAGAGAAUGGAAAAGAUAUACGUGAGAGACUAAAAAAUGAGGGAUGAUAAUCAAUAAUAGAAGAAUAUAGGAUAAGUACCUAUUCUCAUUUUAUACUUGUAGUAUAUUUGCUAAUAAUGCCAUUGUUGAUCCUCAAGCUAAAUACACAUCCUUUGUUUUCCCAACAAAGGACAAUAAGUCUUGGGGAAAUCUGAAUAAAAAUAUUUUUUUUCCCUCCCAAAUGAAAUCUAUUAGCAAAAUAUUGAGAACUGAGAUUGUACUUACUUGGUGCAAAAUUGUAGAUAGAAGGUCAGUUGGGCAGAAGGAGAAAGAGAAUUCUGGAAAAAGUAGAGUUCAUUCCCUGUGAAUGAUCCUAGAGUGAAAAUAUCUUUGUAGCUUUAUUAAUUUUCCAUUCAUUUAUGACUAUAUGUUUUUUUUAAUUUU